GCACGCGACGGUUUCAAGGUCUUCGUCUCGAACAACAUCGAUAUCGCUCACAAAAACAAUACCUACUCGGAAGUUAAUGUUAACAUUUUCAUACCAAAUGAUUCAGGACUGAAAUGAGGAAUAAAAUGUGACAAAGGUAUUUUCAAGUUUCACUUACAUUUUUAUUGGUUUUAUUCAGAUGACAUCGCUGUAUUCUGUGGAUUUAUUAUAUCCACUUCCUUUUUAAUUUAACGUAUUAACUUUAAUUGUAAUUUAUGAUAAACUUUUCUUUCAUUUUUAAAUUACAUAAAUUGAGCUGGCGGCAAUAUAAACGCAUUAGUUUUAUUGCUAUUAUUAUUAAAAACAAACCAUCGGGUAAUAAAGAUAUGGUGGAGCUGGAAGACUGCAUGUCUGUCCUUUCAUGUCAUUCAAAAGGUAGGUGUUUCGGUAGAGCGGUGUCGUGUCGUACGAGACGCGACCUUGCGCCGGCGCAGACGGAGCGCCGGCGAAGUGGAGAUCGUCCAAUGGACAAGAGAGACAUAUAAAAAUAGAUAUCUACGCUAUUAUGGUUGUUCAGUCUAGGCCGCACGACACGCCGUGCUAGAAAUCUGGUCG